GACGUAGGGUGCGAGCGUUGUCCGGAUUUAUUGGGCGUAAAGAGCUCGUAGGCGGCUCGUCGCGUCAGCUGUGAAAACCGGCAGCUUAACUGUGGGCUUGCAGCUGAUACGGGCGGGCUAGAGUUCGGUAGGGGAGACUGGAAUUCCUGGUGUAGCGGUGAAAUGCGCAGAUAUCAGGAGGAACACCGGUGGCGAAGGCGGGUCUCUGGGCCGAUACUGACGCUGAGGAGCGAAAGCGUGGGGAGCGAACAGG
rnacentral:rRNA from 1 species